CCUACGGGAGGCAGCAGUGGGGAAUAUUCCACAAUGGGGGAAACCCUGAUGCAGCGACGCCGCGUGAAGGAAUAAGUAUUUCGGUAUGUAAACUUCUAUCAGCAGGGGAGAAAGUGACGGUACCUGACUAAGAAGCCCCGGCUAACUACGUGCCAGCAGCCGCGGUAAUACGUAGGGGGCAAGCGUUAUCCGGAUUUACUGGGUGUAAAGGGAGCGUAGGCGGCGAUGCAAGUCAGAAGUGAAAGCCCGGGGCGCAACUCCGGGGCUGCUUUUGAAACUGGAUGGCUAGAUUGCAGGAGAGGCAAGUUGAAUUCCUAGUGUAGCGGUGAAAUGCGUAGAUAUUAGGAGGAACACCAGGGGCGAAGGCGGCUUGCUGGACUGUAAAUGACGCUGAGGCUCGAAAGCGUGGGGAGCAAACAGGAUUAGAUACCCUUGUAGUC
rnacentral:rRNA from 1 species